GACGAAGGUGGCAAGCGUUGUUCGGAUUCACUGGGCAUAAAGGGCGCGUAGGCGGUUCCGAAAGUGGCAUGUGAAAUCCCCCGGCUCAACCGGGGAAGUGCGUGCCAAACUUCGGUGCUAGAGGGCGGUAGGGGGGACUGGAACUCUCGGUGGAGCGGUGGAAAUGCGUAGAUAUCGAGAGGAACACCGGUGGCGAAGGCGAGUCCCUGGACAACACCUGACACUGAGGCACGAAAGCUAGGGGAGCAAACAGG
rnacentral:rRNA from 1 species